GACGAACGCUGGCGGCGUGCUUAACACAUGCAAGUCGAACGGAGCCUAUCGAAUGAAGUUUUCGGUAUGGAAUUUGAGAAAGCUUAGUGGCGGACGGGUGAGUAACGCGUGAGGAACCUGCCUUUCUAGAGGGGGACGAACAGUUGGAAACGACUGCUAAUACCGCAUGACGCAAUAGUAUCGCAUGAUACAGUUGCCAAAGAUUUAUCGCUGAAAGAUGGCCUCGCGUCUGAUUAGAUAGUUGGUGGGGUAACGGCCUACCAAGUCGACGAUCAGUAGCCGGACUGAGAGGUUGAACGGCCACAUUGGGGACUGAGACACGGCCCAGACUCCUACGGGAGGCAGCAGUGGGGGAAUAUUGCGCAAUGGGGG
rnacentral:rRNA from 1 species